GUCCUAUUCUGUAAAGGCCACGCAGGUUCCAGGCGUUCUGUGUUCCGCAAGACCUUUGGCCAACCCUACCUCGUCGGUGGGCUGCCCAGUCCUUGAGACUCGUUCAUCACCAUCAAGGUGAGAACAUGGCAGCAUCCAGGUGGGCAUGGUGCAAGAGGAGCUGAAAGUUCUACAUCUUCAUUUGAAGGCUGCUAGCAGAAUACUGGCUUCCAGGAAGCUAGGAUGAGAAAGCCCACACUCACAGUGACACAUCUCCUCCAACAAGGUCACACCUACUCCAACAGAGCCACAGCCAGCUCCCUGGGCCAAGCAUAGCCAAACCAUAACAUGAGCUUUGCACAGCAGUACCACUAAAGACUGGUGGAUUCUAUGGAGCAUCUGUACAAGAAAUUGAUAAGAAAAUGUUACCUUCAGAGCUUUCCUAUCCCUUCUGCAGGGGGCUUACAGCUAAUUUGAGGGGAUAGGGUUCCCAGGAUUCUGUGUGUCAUUUGCCACUUGCGAUCAUUUCCCAUGUAUAUGGCAUGCCUGUUCAUAGACUUGUUAUACCUUGUGCCUACUCCUGACUGGUGAACUUUGAAUAGAAUGUGAAUAAGAUAUCGUAUCCAUCUGAGUCCUAGCUAUAACACUGAAAUUGUAUCUUUCUCGAAGUUGCUCAAAGAUUCAGUGUUAGGUUGCAUUUUUCCCAAUGUAAAGUACAGAAGGAGUGAGCAGAGGAUUCAGAUAUGGAUCUGAUUGGUUUGAAAGUAUCGAAUAACUGUUACACACAGUUUACGCUGGCUAGUUUUCUAUGAAUUUGACACAAGGUAGAGAAGAGGGAACCUCAAUUGAGAAAAUGCUCCUAUCAUAGGUCAAGCAUGUGGAACAUUUUUGUUUGGUUGGUUGGUUUUGUUUUUCCAAGACAGGGUUUCUCUGUGUAGCCCUGACUGUCCUGGAACUUGUUCUGUAGACCAGGCUGGCCUCAAACUCACAAAGAUCUGCUUGCCUCUGACUUCCAAGUGCUGGACCUAAAGGCCUCCUUUAGAAGAAAAUGCUCCUGCAUUUUCUUGAUUAAUGAUGGAUGGGCAAGCAUCCAGCACAUUGAAGGUAGUGCCACACAUGGGCUAGUGGUCCUGGAGAGCAUAAGAAAUCAGGUUGAGCAAGCCACAUGAGCAAGCCAGUAAGCAGCACCCCUCCAUGGCCUUUGCUUCAGCUCCUCCCUCCAGGUUCCUGCCUUUAAUUUCUGCCCUGACUUCCCUAGAUGAAGGAUUAUAAACUGUAAAAUGCAAUAAACCCUUUCCUCCCC
rnacentral:lncRNA from 1 species